rnacentral:tRNA from 1 species
GUAGCUGUAGCUCAACUGGAUAGAGCGUUGCCCUCCGAAGGCAAAGGUUAGAGGUUCAAGUCCUCCCAGCUACGCCA